rnacentral:tRNA from 2 species
GCCUGUGUGGUGAAAUUGGUAGACACGCCAUCUUGAGGGGGUGGUAUCCAAUAGGAUGUGCUGGUUCGAAUCCAGUCACAGGCA